GAUAAACGCUAGCGGCAGGCUUAACACAUGCAAGUCGAGGGGCAGCAUAGAUUGUAGCAAUACAAUUGGUGGCGACCGGCGCACGGGUGCGUAACGCGUAUGCAACCUACCCGUCACAGGGGGAUAAUCCGGAGAAAUCUGGUCUAAUACCCCAUAACAUAUGGAUCGGCAUCGGUUCAUGUUGAAAUUUUCGGAGGUGACGGAUGGGCAUGCGUAGCAUUAGCUUGUUGGUGAGGUAACGGCUCACCAAGGCGACGAUGCUUAGGGGGACUGAGAGGUUUUCCCCCCACACUGGUACUGAGACACGGACCAGACUCCUACGGGAGGCAGCAGUGAGGAAUAUUGGUCAAUGGGCGCAAGCCUGAACCAGCCAUGCCGCGUGCAGGAUGACGGCUCUAUGAGUUGUAAACUGCUUUUGUACGAGGGUAAAGUGGGUUACGUGUAACCUUUUGAAAGUAUCGUACGAAUAAGGAUCGGCUAACUCCGUGCCAGCAGCCGCCGCCG
rnacentral:rRNA from 1 species